rnacentral:lncRNA from 1 species
GGGAUUCCUGCUCUGUUUCCAGAUUCCCGGCGCCUUGGGUCUCCAGGUGCCUCCAGCAUCUUGGUAUCCGCUUCCCAGGGCCGUGCCCCUCGCCUGUCCCCGGUGUCCCUGGGUGCCCCUUCACAGCUUUGGGACGUUGCAGAACAAAUCAGCCCCUGCGGAUUCUUCCGACGGGGAGACAGAGAGGCUGUGGAGUGGAACUUGGAGGAGACGACGUCCAGGAGUCUUUGCUAGGACUGGGGACAGAGACGUGAGCCUCCCGCCGCGCCCGUCGGGCAGGGACGCCUCGCCUGGGGGAUCUGGGAGAGUGGAAUUCCAUCAUGAAGACAGAGGACACGUCCCAGUGCCUGCCUGAUGUGUCCUUCCUAAGUUGAACCCCGGGGCACUUGGUGGGCGCGCUGGACCUAGGCUGCCUUCUCAGAAAACUCCCAGCUGGGACCUGGCCUUCUCUGGACACCCCCGGUGGCAAAGAUGUUUUAAUCCCCUUCCCAGGUCUCGAGUUCCAGUCAGAGGAUCCGAUAACAGUUCUUGUAUUGUGUGGGUCACUUAAGAAACCCCUGGCAUCCCUCGAGUGCAGACACAGCUGAAUGCUACAACAAGACUGGUAACCUGGGGCGUGUGCAGUAACUGGGGUAUGUAUGGCCCUUUCCUCCCAUGUGUGUGUAGCAGAAAGAGGACAUUGUGUCUUUGAGAGAAGUCAGGUCAUUUGCCCCAGGUCUCACAGCUCCUGAGUGGCAUCAGAGGGACUCAAACCCUGCAGAAGAGACUGUCCUUUCCCUCUGCUGUGGAAAAAUGUAUCCAGCAGCUUGGUGGUCCUGACCCAGCUCCAGCCAAGGACAGGGCAGCUUUGCUCCACCCGUGGGGAGCUUUCCAUCCGUCUGGGUCCAGGGCCAUCUCCCCCUGUAGGGCUCUGACCCAGCCUCCCUCCUGCUUUCUCAGGCUCUGAAAAACCUCUGAGCAUCUCUAUGGGUUUGUGAUUGAGGUGUGCGUGUCUGCCAGCAGCCCUGGACAGCAGUGAGUAACCUCAGUAUUGGAAAGGGGUCUGACUCUGUCCUCAUCUCUCCCCUUCUCUGGCUCCAUCCUACCUCUCCCCUAGCUGGUUUCUUCUGCAAACCCUGGUGAAUCCAGAAGGGUAUCCACUUCUGAAAUUCACGUAGCCUGCAGCUGCUCACUCCCCAUGGGUGAGAGCAAGAGUUGAUGUCCUCUAUUUAGUGGUUUAUUUUUAGUAGCAAAAAGUUGUGUCUAUUUGUUUAAAAAGUCAAAUUAAGAUGUCCCCAUUGCCUCUCAGCGCCAAGGAACCUGACUGGUACCCAUGAGAACUCGGUUGGGUCUCUGGCCCAACUCAGUGGGUUAAGGAUCCCCUGCUGGGGUGAGCUGCAGACAGGACUUGGAGUCCUUGUAGCUGUGGCUGUGGUAUAGGCUGGCAGCUGCAGCUGAUUCUACCCCUAGCCUGGGAGCUUCCAUAUGUUGUGGGUGUGGCUCUAAAAAAAAAAAAAA